rnacentral:rRNA from 1 species
UACGUAGGGUGCAAGCGUUGUCCGGAAUUAUUGGGCGUAAAGAGCUCGUAGGCGGUUUGUUACGUCGGCUGUGAAAUCCCGAGGCUCAACCUCGGGUCUGCAGUCGAUACGGGCGGACUGGAGUUCGGCAGGGGAGACUGGAAUUCCUGGUGUAGCGGUGAAAUGCGCAGAUAUCAGGAGGAACACCGGUGGCGAAGGCGGGUCUCUGGGCCGAUACUGACGCUGAGGAGCGAAAGCGUGGGGAGCGAACAGG